rnacentral:rRNA from 1 species
CCUACGGGAGGCAGCAGUGAGGAAUAUUGGUCAAUGGGCGUAAGCCUGAACCAGCCAAGUCGCGUGAGGGAUGAAGGUUCUAUGGAUCUUAAACCUCUUUUAUAAGGGAAUAAAGUGUGGGACGUGUCCUUUUUCGUAUGUACCUUAUGAAUAAGGAUCGGCUAACUCCGUGCCAGCAGCCGCGGUAAGACGGAGGAUCCGAGCGUUGUCCGGAUUUCUUGGGUUUAAAGGGUGCGUAGGCGGCCUUGUAAGUUAGCGGUGAAAGUCUGUGGGUCAACCAUAGGAGUGCCGUUGAAACUGGGAGGCGUGAGUAUGUUUGAGGUAGGCGGAAUGCGUGGUGUAGCGGUGAAAUGCUUAGAUAUCACGCAGAACCCCGAUUGCGAAGGCAGCCUGCCAGGCCAUGACUGACGCUGAUGCACGAAAGCGUGGGGAUCAAACAGGAUUAGAUACCCUUGUAGUC